CGCUCGUCUGGUCGGACGAGGGCGACUACCAGGUGGCCUACGACGCGAGCACGGCCACCCGUGCCGAGGCGUUCGACGCCUGGCGGGCGG
rnacentral:tRNA from 1 species